UUUUUUUUUUCCUGGACUCCUUUUGAGAUGUUAUCUUUGUCUUGUUUUUUGUAGUUUCAACAUAAGUGUAGAUUUCCUUAUCCUAGUUAGCAUUUGGGCUUCUUGAAUCCAUGCUUUGAUGUCUAGCUAUCUAGCACUGAAGAUACAUGUUAUUCAAAUGGUUUUGGCCCCAUUUCCUCUUCUUUUGGGACUCCAAAUAAAUACAUAUAUGUGUGUGUAUUAGAUUUUUUCAUAUUCUCUUUCUUUCUCUUGUCUUCAUGCCUCAUUCCAGAAAGUUUCUUCAGCCUCUCCUUCCAGGUUGGUAAUUUUAUCUUUAGAGGUUUUAAAUUUUUGGUCCUUAUAUUUUAACCUCUGGGGAUCUCCUGUUUUCUUUCAAAUCUGUUAUUUUAAUAAAUCUUAAUUUUCUUUCAAUUUUUAAACUUGGAUUUUAUCUCCUUCAACAGAAAAGCAAUUAUUUUAUCUACUCCCAAUAGCUGGAGACCAGUUGGUCUUUCUCUUGUCUGUGCUGGUGGUUUUAGGUCAUGCUGUUUAUUCGUGUACCUGAUUUUCUAUAUGCUGGACACAAUAUUUUAAAAAUUCUUUGAGCAAUGUACUCUAUGGUAACAGCUUCCAUAGUAUUUGCUCACUUCUACCAGGAAUUUUGAGUCACCAAAAUACAGUAUGACUUAACCCAAUCUCAGAACUUGAGGCUAUCUGGGUAUUAUGUGACAUGAAGCCAGGCUGGAGUUCAUGCAAGGACUGGUUUUCUACUAGUUCACUCUGCUUCCUAGGGCUAAAAUGGGAGGCUUGUGUUUAAAUCCUGGCUCUAAUGUGAGACCCUAGAAGGUACUUAUCUUCACUGGGCUUCAGUUUCAUCACAUUCUUCUCAUCUUACAUACGGAGAAACUGAUGCCCAGACAGGGGAAGUAAUUUUUCCAACAUCCUACAAUUAGUGAGCAGCAAUUAUAGAACAGAGCCUAGGCCUGUCAAGGGUACUUCUACGUGAGCUUUCAAUUUUGGACCCUGUAUCUAGGGAUCUAUAUCCCCAAAUACCUUGCUUCCCCCUACAUGCACAUGAAGAGGAUUCUGUAAUCCCUAUCAUACUUGCCAUACCCAGAAGGAAGAACCUGAAUUAGGUGAGAGUACUGAGACACCAGAGGAGGCUGGUGUAUGGCAAGAAGAAGGAAGGCUAGAGGACCAAGGCAGAGUUAUAAGGGCUUGUAGGGCACUAGAAAAAGUGAUACUAGAAGUAUCCUUGUGUAAAUGGUAUAGCCAUGUGCUGGUAUCAAAAGUGAACUGCCAGCCUGUUCUCACUUCAUUUCCCACAUUCACUUCCCCUUCCCAACUUCUGCUGUUCAAGAUCUGUCUUUCAGCUCUUGUCAAAAGGCUGCUAGCAUCCACCAGGCUGAUCCUGGGAUACUGGUUCUAGCUGCUAUAGAAAGCCCCUGAGUGAAUUGAAAGGUAGAUGGUGGGAGGCUGAGGAAUAUUGAAACCAAUGGUAUAGCCAAGAAGACUUGAGGAGAGGAUUGGUAUACCCCCGGUACCAGACAACUCAGGGCUGAGGUAUUUUGUUGCCUUUGUGGAAUGGUAUCAUUUACAAUAGACUUUUCCCAUAGAAAGAUGAGUCUUGGCAGAAGUCCAGCUUCUAGGUUUACUCCUGGCCUUGCUGCAUACUCACUUUGUUAUCAGAGAAUACAUCUUGGGGCCAGGCAUGGUGGCUUGUGCCUACAAUCCUAGCACUUAGGGAGGCUGAGGUGGGAGGAUCACUUGAGCCCAGGAAUUUGAGACCAACCUGGGCAACAUGAUGAAACCCCAUCUCUACAAAAGAUACACAAAAAUUGGCUGGGUGUAGUGGAAUGCACCUGUAGUCCCAGCUACUCAGGAGGCUGAGGUGGGAGGAACGCUGGAGCCCAGGAGCCAGAGGUUGCAGUGAGCCAUGAUUGCACCAAUAUACUCCAGCCUGGGCGAGAGAGUGAGAUUCUGUCUCAAAAAUAAACAACCCCCAACCACACCGCCAAAAAAAAAAAAAAAAAAAA
ensembl:lncRNA